UGCAAUGCACCUUAACAGCACAACACAUUCUGUAGUAAGAGUAACUCUUAUUUUCUGUUGGGUGCAUUAUAUAGACAUCCAUUAUCGAAUGACAGCAGAUCAAGUCAGGAGAUCAAGAGACUCCGGGAGAAUUCCAGGCUCAGGUAAUAUGCGAGGCAACCCACAUCAUUACUAAUGCUGAGGCAAAAUGGCCAGGAUCUGUGCAUGAUGCCAGAAUUUUCCGCGAGUCAUCAUUAUGCCAGACAUUUCAGCAGGGACAGUACAAUGGUUACUUGCUGGGGGACAGAGGAUACCCUUGUCUGCCCUAUUUAAUGACACCCUACCCUAAACCUGAUCCUGGACCACAGACACGCUUUAACCUGGCUCACAGCCGAACACGGGCCAAGGUGGAGAUGACCAUAGGGAUCCUCAAGUGUAGGUUUCAGUGUCUGCGUGGGCUCCGGGUCAGUCCAGAGAGGGCAUGCGACAUCAUAGUGGCUUGUGUUGUGCUUCACAACAUUGCCACUAUAAGAGGAGAGAGCCACCCUCCUUGUAUUGAAGAAGAUGGCCCAGAGGAACCCCUACAGAUUUUUGCACACAACAGAGAUGGAAGACUUUUGAGAGACAGGAUUUGUCAAAAUUUCUUUUAUUAAAUUGUUUGCACUGGUC